rnacentral:rRNA from 1 species
AUUGAACGCUGGCGGCAGGCCUAACACAUGCAAGUCGAGCGAGUGGCGGACGGGUGAGUAAUGUCUGGGAAUCUGCCCGAUGGAGGGGGAUAACUACUGGAAACGGUAGCUAAUACCGCAUACCAUCGGAUGUGCCCAUAUGGGAUUAGCUUGUAGGUGGGGUAACGGCUAACCUAGGCGACGAUCCCUAGCUGGUCUGAGAGGAUGACCAGCCACACUGGAACUGAGACACGGUCCAGACUCCUACGGGAGGCAGCAGUGGGGAAUAUUGCACAAUGGGCGCAAGCCGGAUGCAGCCAUGCCGCGUGUAUGAAGAAGGCCUUCGGGUUGUAAAGUACUUUCAGCGGGGAGGCGUUACCCGCAGAAGAAGCACCGGCUAACUCCGUGCCAGCAGCCGCGGUAAUUC